rnacentral:lncRNA from 1 species
CCUGCCUCAGCCUCCCAAGUAGCUGGGACUACAGUUAUACACAAGAUGAAUGGAUUAACCACUGGAAGACCUGCACUACUACAAAUGUUAAAGAAAGUCCUUCCAAGAAAGAAAAAAGGCAACUUAAUGGAAACUUGUGUCUACCAAAUGGAAAGAAGAGCAAUGGGAAUCCUAACUACGAGUGUGAGAAAAAAAGUUGAAUGUGGUGAUGGGGAAAACACUGAAGUUCAAAAGAAGCGAAGACAAGAAGCUACUCAUGGCAGCAGCUUUUCCCAUAAAUCAAGAAAUGCUACAGAUUAUAAAUGAGAUGAGACUAUCAAGAAGAGACCUAAUAGGAGUGUGAAGACCAAAAAUUUAAAAGACGUGGUUAUAUACUUUGAGUAAACUCUAUAUAUAGGACAAUGUUAUUGUUUGGUUCUGUGUUCCUCACUCAAAUCUCACCUCAAAUUAUAAUCCCCAUGUGUCAAGGGCAGGACCAGGUGGAAGUAACUGGAUCAUGGGGGAAGUUUUCCUCAUGCUUUUCUCAUAGUAAGUGAGUUCUCAUAAGAUCUGAUUUUUUUAUAAGCAUAUGGCAUUUCCCCUCCUAGCAUUUUGCCUCCUGCUGCCUUGCAAAGACGGCAGUUGCUUCCCCUUUGCCUUCCGCCAUGACUGUAAGUUCCCUGAGUCCUCUCCAGCCAUGUGGAAC